ACCUGCCGAAUGAAUUAGCCCUGAAAAUGGAUGGCGCUGAAGCGGGUAGCCGACACCACGCCGUGUGAACGAGCUUUGGUGUCACAUGAGUAGGAGGGCGUGGCGGGCGUGGCGAAGCAUGGGCGCGAGCCUGUGUGGAACGGUCCGCUAGUGCAGAUCUUGGUGGUAGUAGCAAGUAUUCAAGCGAGAACCUUGAAGGGCGAAGCGGGGAAGGGUUCCACGCGAACAUUGAUUGGGCGUGGGUGAGUCGUUCCUAAGCCGAGUGGCAAUUGCUAAGUAACGUGCGAAAGGGAAGCGGGUUGAAAUUCCCGCACACGGAUGUGGAGCGCGGUGACGCGGAAUGGGGCGAACACGCUGGCGACGGCGCUGGGCAGAGUUGUCUUUUCUGUUUGACCGAGUGUGCGGGCUGUGUGGAAUCCGCUUGUCGGGAGAAACACGCGCGCACGGGCAGAGCGCCGGGGCUUUUCCGGCGUCCAGCUCGCCGUCGACGGCCCUUGAAACUUUGCCUGCUGAAACUUUAUUGAUAAAAUCCACGCCGUGGCGUACCGAUCACCGCAUCAGGUCCCCGAGGUGAAUAGCCUCUGCUCGAUAUGAACAAUGCAGGUAAGGGAAGUCGGCAAAUUAGACCCGUAACUUUGGGAAAAGGGUUGGCUCUAGUGCUGCGUGGGAGAGGUUGUCUGUGUGUGGGGUUGGAGGGAGGGCCGGCUGGGCGCGGAGUGGCCUUGGGCAACCAUGUGCUGCACUGUUCCUGGCUGCUCGCCAGCUAAUUCCGCCUCGGACGACGCCCACGGCAUGCAGCAGACUAGAACUGCAACGGGCAAAGGGAAUCCGACUGUUUAAUUAAAACAAAGCAUUGAGAAGG
rnacentral:rRNA from 1 species